rnacentral:rRNA from 1 species
UGGGGAAUAUUUGACAAUGGGCGCAAGCCUGAUCCAGCCAUGCCGCGUGAGUGAUGAAGGCCCUAUGGUAGUAAAGCUCUUUCACCGGUGAAGAUAAUGACGGUAACCGUAGAAGAAGCCCCGGCUAACUUCGUGCCAGCAGCCGCGUUAAUACGAAGGGGGCUAGCGUUGUUCGGAUUUACUGGGCGUAAAGCGCACGUAGGCGGACUAUUAAGUCAGGGGUGAUAUCCCGGGGCUCAACCCCGGAACUGCCUUUGAUACUGGUAGUCUUGAGUACGAGAGAUGUGAGUGGAAUCCCGCGGGGCGAGGUAAAAUUCGUAGAUAUUCGGAGGAACACCAGUGGCGAAGGCGGCUCACUGGCUCGAUACUGACGCUGAGGUGCGAAAGCGUGGGGAGCAAACAGG